CGAACGCUGGCGGCGUGCCUAACACAUGCAAGUCAAGGAGAAUUCCCGACUUGUCGGGAUAGUAAACUGGCGAACGGGUGAGUAACACGUAGGUAAUCUACCCUCGAGAUCGGGAUAACCUCGCGAAAGUGGGGAUAAUACCGAAUAAAGUCUCGGUAUAAUUUGUCGAGAUGAAAGAUGGGGAUCUUCGGACCUAUUACCUGAGGAUGAGCCUGCGCCUGAUUAGCUAGUUGGUAGGGUAAAUGCCUACCAAGGCAACGAUCAGUAGCUGGUCUGAGAGGAUGAUCAGCCACAUUGGGACUGAGAUACGGCCCAGACUCCUACGGGAGGCAGCAGUGAGGAAUUUUGCGCAAUGGGCGAAAGCCUGACGCAGCAACGCCGCGUGACUGAUUAAGCUCUGAGGAGUGUAAAAGUCUGUCGUAGAGGAAGAAACUAUCCGAUAAGAAUAUUGUCGGAUACUGACGGUACUCUAUGAGAAAGCUCCGGCUAACUCCGUG
rnacentral:rRNA from 1 species